GAGAGAUUUUUACCGUGUCAUUUCGAAGAUUCGACACAGCAACAUUUCGGUUACUUGCCCCGCUCUUACGCUAAUAACUAGGCUACCUGUGAUGCUGUGGUAGGUAUCACGCAGUGAGAGCUAUUGUGAACAAGCCAUUGCAGUUAUGACAUUGAUAAAAUAAUGGCCAUGUUUCAAGUGUGUGCCGACGGAAUAUUUUUGGUAUUUAUUAGGAUCCCCGUUAAAUGCUGCAAAAGUAUCAGAAUUGUUCACUUCUCUCAUUGACUUGUCAAACCCAGGCGUGGUCUGCUUCAGAAGCGUUCUCUGAAGUCUCGCGUUGUUACGUCUCUGGGUUUAGAAACUGGUAGUGGGGAAACAGGAAGUUCCGCGCAGGCGCGCAUCAUUCUUCGCAAUCAAGGAAACGCCAGAAUUGUGCAGUCAAGACGACAACUUCUGUGUGUCCGUUUCAAAUGUAUUACUACUGAUUAGUCUGAGGCCGGUAACAUCAACAGUGAGAACAGACCCAGCCUGCCUCUCUCCUUCCACACCGAGUUCAAACUUACAGUCACUGUGUCCUGAUUGUGACAGUGGAGCCCAGUUUGCACUGCAGGAUCCAGAGAUGGCAUCAGUGAAGCUGGAAGACUGCAGUCAAACACUGGCGCUGAAUGUCAACAUUAAAGAUGAAGAAGAGGAGGAGAAGAUAGAGACAUCUUUUUCUCAUGGAGACAAUGUUGAGACAUUCUCUACAUCCAGAGAGCAACAGCAGCAGGAAGAUCACAGAGCUAAGAGGUCUCACCACUGCCCACAUUGUGAGGAGCUUUUCCCAAUUUUAUCAAAGCUAAAAAUACACUUGAAAAUACACACAGGAGAGAAUCUGUAUCCCUGCUCUGACUGUGGGAAGAGAUUCACAACAGCAGGGUCUCUGACAGUUCAUCGGAGAUUGCACACUGGAGAGAAGCCGUACUCCUGCUCUGACUGUGUAAAAUGCUUCACAACAUCUGCUCAUCUAGAAGUUCAUCAGAGAACACACACAGGAGAGAAGCCUUACUCCUGCUCUGACUGUGGAACGAGUUUCUCUCUACUGUGCAACUUAAAAACACAUGAACAUAUACAUACAGGAGUGAAGCCUUAUUCCUGCUCGGACUGUGGAAAGAGUUUCUCUCUACUGUGCAACUUAAAAACACAUAAAUGUAGACAUACAGGACUGAAGCCAUACCGCUGCUCUGAAUGUGUAAAAUGCUUCACAACAUCAACUGAGCUAAAAGUACACCAGAGAACACACACAGGAGAGAAGCCUUACUCCUGCUUUGACUGUGGGGUGAGGUUCUCCCAACGGUGCACCUUAAAACAACAUGAACGUAUACACACGGGAGAGAAGCCUUACUCCUGCUCUGACUGUGGAAGGAUUUUCUCUCAACCGGGCCCCUUAAAAAGACAUGAACGUAUGCAUACAGGAGUGUAGACUUAAUCCAGCUCUGACUGAUUACAAUGCUUCAAAACAUCAGGUCAGCUAGAAGUUCAUCAGAGAACAGACACAGGAUAGAAUCCUUACUUCUGCUCUUAAUGUGGCAAGAGUAACUCAAGUGAAAGUCACCAAGUAGAAUACUACUUGAGUAAAAGUUUUUGGUUGUAAAUAUACUUAAGUAUUAAAACUAAAAGUAUGAAUCAUUUCAAUUUUCUUAAACGUAUGAUCUCUGUAAUUGCAAACAAAGGUUUCUAUAACAAAUAUUAAGUUCUGCUUUUCUGAUGUAUCAAAAAGUUAUGUCAUGCAAUAAAAUGCAAAUUAAUUACUUAAAAAUCAUACAAUGUGAUUUUCUGGAUUUUUGUUUUAGAUUCCGUCUCUCACAGUUGAAGUGUACCUAUGAUAAAAAAUACAGAUCUCUACAUGCUUUCUAUGUAGGAAACACUGCUGAUUUUGCAGGUUAUCAAAUACUUGUUCUCCCCACUGUAUGUCUGUUACGUUUUUGGCGGGUCAAUUGAGGAAGACAUCCUCUUCUGGAAACCAGAACAACAGGAUAUCUUCAAAAAGUACUGGACAGUUUUGUGACAUCAAAUGGACUUAGGUGGUCAAGAUGUGUUGGUAUCUGUACUGAUGGCGCGAAAGCCUUGACAGGGAGACAUAGUGGAGUGGUAACGCUCGUGCAACCUGUUGCUCCCGACACUACUUGGGUACACUGCAGCAUCCACCGAGAGGCUCUUGCUGCCAAGGGAAUGCCUGACAGCUUGAAAGAUGUUUUGGGCACUACAGUGAAAAUUGGGAACUUUGUUAACAUGAACAACACACAGGUCUUUUCAUCAUUGUAUGAUUUUUUUGUGUGCAAAUGAACUCAAGCUUACGGAAAAUGUUGAAUGUGAUCUAGCGAAGCUCCUGAGUUAGUUUGGUGUGCAAAUACGCAGGUACUUUCCUGAAACGGAUGACACAAACUAGAUUUGUUAUCCUUUUCAUUCCCUGCCUCCAGUCCACUUACCAAUAUCUGAACAAAAGAGCCUCAUCAAAAUUGCAACAUGCGGUUCUGUGAAAAUGUAAUUGAAUCAGAACCUACUGCCAAAUUUCUGGAUUGGGCUACGCUCAAGAGUAUCCUGCCUUGGCAAAUCGCGCUGUUAAGACACUGAUGCCCUUUGGAACCACAUUCUCGGCCCUCACUAGCAUGAAAACUAAAUACAGGCACAGACUGUGUGAAAAAGGAUUUAAGACAGAGAGUCUCUCCAAUAAAACCCAACAUUGCAGAGUUAUGUGCAUCCUUUCAAGCACACCCUUCUCAUUAACCUGUGGUGAGUUAUUCACCAUUUUCAAUGAGCAAGUAAGGUUUUAUAUGUAAAAUUGCUAAAUAAAGAGCCAAAUGGAUUAUUAUGAUUAUUUGUGCCCUAGUCCUAUAGCCAGGCUCGUGUGAAGUGAUAAACUCACACUCAUUCUUAUGUUUAAUAAAUGUAUCAUAUAGUGUGUGUAUGUGUGUGACAGGCUUACAAUAUUUGAGAGCGCGCUGACCCUGUUGCUAGAGGGGGUACGCAGCUGGAGGUUGAAUGUUUGAAGGGUUACGGGACUAUAAACGGUUUGGGAACCGCUGGUCUAGAUAAUCCCAUUUCCUGCUGUGUCAUGCUGAUGGGAAGACUAGGCUAUGGAGAAAACCAUGAGUACAUGCAUCAAUGCCGUGUGUCAGCAUUGCAGGCUGGCAGUGAUGGUGUGGGGUGUGUUUUCAUGGUACACAUUGGGCCCCUUGAUAAUUGUGGAGCAAUGUAUUAAUACCACAGGAUGGCUAAACAUUUCCAAUCAGGUCCAUCCCUUUAUGGCAGCAAUGUAUCCAGCUGCAAAUUAAUGUUUUCUGCAGGAUUAUGCCCCAAGGCUUGUCCAGGAAUGGUUCCAUGGGACCCAUGACAGGCAAUUCAGUUUACUGCAGUGGCCUGCCAAGUCACUAGAUCUCAAUCCAAUUGUGCAUCUGUGGGAGGAGAUGGAACGAGCUAUUCAGAGUAGACGUCCACUCCCAGCCAACCAGACACAACUGUGGGAAGCAUUGGAGUCAUCAUGGCCCAGCAUCCCUGUGGGUUUCUUUCCACACCAUGUGGAGUCCAUGGCCUGACGAAUUGAGGCUGUUCUGAGGACAAAGGGGAUUGCAACUCAAUAU